rnacentral:rRNA from 1 species
AUUGAACGCUGGCGGCAGGCCUAACACAUGCAAGUCGAGCGAGCGGCGGGCGGGUGAGUAAUGUAUGUGAAACCGCCUGAAGGAGCGGGGUAACUCCAGGAAACGGUAGGUCAUACCCCAUACACUCUGGUGUGCCCCGAUGGGAUUAGAUAGUAGGUGGGGUAAAGGCUCACCUAGGCGACGAUCCCUAGCUGGUCUGAGAGGAUGACCAGCCACACUGGAACUGAGACACGGCCCAGACUCCUACGGGAGGCAGCAGUGGGGAAUAUUGCACAAUGGGCGAAAGCCUGAUGCAGCCAUGCCGCGUGUAUGAAGAAGGCCUUCGGGUUGUAAAGUACUUUCAGCGGGGAGGCGUUACCCGCAGAAGAAGCACCGGCUAACUCCGUGCCAGCAGCCGCGGUAAUUC